rnacentral:lncRNA from 1 species
UCCAUUUUUACUGCAUACUCUAAUUCUUGAUUAUUUACAUAUUUAGGUUCAAGUAUAGAAAUCGAUAGUAUAGAAGAUGAGUUAAGAAAAGGGAACGAGGAAUUGUAGGUAUUAGUUUUUUUUUUUUUUGUGGCUAUGAGCACACAGACAGGGAAGGAGAAAUAAAUAAAAUAAAAAUAGGAGGGAUAAUACUUGAGUGUAGAUUGGGUGUGAAGGGUGCUUGUAAGAUGAAGGUGGAUAACGGGAUUUGAAGAGGAUGAUGAUGUGAGAUGGAUUAGAAAGGAAAAAUUUAGGGAAAAAGAAUAAGAGUGGAAGCAUCCAUGCAUCAAGAAAAAUCUUCAAAGUCAUGCAUAAAAGGCUAUACCUUUAGGGUAUAAUAUGGCUCGCGGCCCUACUCCACAUAGUAGGGAUACUCGAUAGACAUUCAGUUGGGAGUCUUUGCACUCAAUGCGGUCUGGCACAUAUUGAUGUCAUGGUUGAAAGGGU